ensembl:lncRNA
AUGAGAGCAGCCGGCGCGGCUCGUGGGGAUGCUGCCACCGGGCCGGGCCCCGGAGCACCGGCUCUGCCUGCUGUCCCGUGGGGACCGACCCCGGCGGGGACGGCUCGCGGCGUCCCAGCGGCGGGCGUCACGGCCGGGCGCGGCAGAACAAUGCGGCCGCCCUGGCUCGGCCCCGGGCAGCUCCGCGUCCCGCUGCGACGCGCGGCCGGGCCCCGCUCCUGCGCCCCCACAGCCCGCCCGGCCCUGACCCUGCGGCCACCGCGGGUGCCACCCGGCCUCCGGCGCAUGGUGAUGGAAAAUUUGAGGCGUUCCUUGCGCCUGUUUACGGCCCCAGCAGGCGGCACGGAGGGGAAGGGCAGUGCCCGCCGGCGCGCAGAGUUCUUGGCUCUUGGCGGAGGUUCUUUGGCAGGGCAGCGGCAGCUCUGCUGGCAGCCCCGGCGGCACCGUGGGCGCUGCAGGAUCCCAGGCCAGACGCGGACGGAGCCCCAAAGCCACCCGCGGGAGACAGCCCGGGCUGGACCCCACAGAGGGGACGGGGACGGCCUCGGGGUGGUGACACGAUGGCGCUCCCGUCCCCGGGGAGCGCUUCCGGAGAUUCAGCCCCGCUUCCUUCCCUGCGCCGGCCGGGCUCGCCCUGGGCUCCCCACCCUUGUCCGGGCUGGGUGGCUCCUGUCCCCGCAGUCCCCGUCCUGGCGGCGGCGGGCGGGUGGGGGCCACCGCUACUGCUGGGUGACGUUCCUGUCCUCGUGGCGCAUUCAUUCCCGGGGACGGGGACAGGGGGUGAGCUGGCACCGGCAGGGACGGGGACACCGCGGGGAGCGGCCGUCCCCGUGUCCCCAGCAGCCAGGGCUCCUGGAGGGCGCCGAGGCCGGUCGGGCGCUGUCCCCGCUGCCUGCCGAGGGGACACCGGGGCAGGGAGGGUCCCGGCACAGGACUGUUUGUCCCCGCCGUGUCGCUCCGGGAGCAGAUGGCGGCGGGGCUGCGGUGGCCCAGCCUCUCCCCAGCUGCCUUGGGGCUGACUUCAUCCCCGCUGGCAGUGACGCUCGGGCGCUGCCUUCCCUCCUGCCACCCUCGCUCGCCGGGCGCGGGCAGGACGUGGGGACAGCCACCGCCGCGUCCGCCGCUCCCUGUCCCCGUCCCCAGCACCGAGUGGCCUGCUCAGGGCGGCCUGGCUCCUGCUGGGCACACACGUCCCCGCCCUGGGGACACCUCUGUGGGGACACCUCUGUGGGGACACCGCCUCCCUGGGGACACCGCUAUGGGGGGACACCAUGGCCCUGGGGACACCAUGGCCCUGGGGACACCACGGCCCUGGGGACACCACGGCCCUGGGGACACCACCGCCUUGGGGGCACCACUGUGGGGACGCCACCGCCUUGGGGACACCAUGGCCCUGGGGACACCACUGCCUUGGGGGCACCACCGUGGGGCCGCCACCACCCCGGGGCCACCCGCACCGCCGCGGUGACACCGCCCCGGGGCCACCCCCGCCCCCCUGGCGCCCCCUGCCGGCGGCCCCGCCCCUCGCCCGGGCCCCGCCCCCCGCCGCGCGAGGCCGGCCGGGCCGUACCAAGCGCGGCGUGCGGGGGGGGGGGCCGGGCCGUUCCCGGGGCGCUGCCC